UGUGUAGGCGGCGCCGUAAGUCAGGUGUGAAAUCUCGGGGCUUAACUCCGAAACUGCAUUUGAUACUGCGGUGCUUGAGGACUGGAGAGGAGACUGGAAUUUACGGUGUAGCGGUGAAAUGCGUAGAUAUCGUAAGGAAGACCAGUGGCGAAGGCGGGUCUCUGGACAGUUCCUGACGCUGAGACACGAAGGCCAGGGGAGGCAAACG
rnacentral:rRNA from 1 species